ACGGGUGAGUAAUGUCUGGGGAUCUGCCCGAUAGAGGGGGAUAACCACUGGAAACGGUGGCUAAUACCGCAUAACGUCGCAAGACCAAAGAGGGGGACCUUCGGGCCUCUCACUAUCGGAUGAACCCAGAUGGGAUUAGCUAGUAGGCGGGGUAAUGGCCCACCUAGGCGACGAUCCCUAGCUGGUCUGAGAGGAUGACCAGCCACACUGGAACUGAGACACGGUCCAGACUCCUACGGGAGGCAGCAGUGGGGAAUAUUGCACAAUGGGCGCAAGCCUGAUGCAGCCAUGCCGCGUGUAUGAAGAAGGCCUUCGGGUUGUAAAGUACUUUCAGCGGGGAGGAAGGCGGUGAGGUUAAUAACCUUACCGAUUGACGUUACCCGCAGAAGAAGCACCGGCUAACUCCGUGCCAGCAGCCGCGGUAAUACGGAGGGUGCAAGCGUUAAUCGGAAUUACUGGGCGUAAAGCGCACGCAGGCGGUCUGUUAAGUCAGAUGUGAAAUCCCCGGGCUUAACCUGGGAACUGCAUUUGAAACUGGCAGGCUUGAGUCUUGUAGAGGGGGGUAGAAUUCCAGGUGUAGC
rnacentral:rRNA from 1 species